GAGAACGGCCUCUAAUGAAGCCUAUGUUUGGUAAGACCAUCUGAGAGUGCUGAUGAAUGCCAACAGCUUUGAUGGAAAAAA